UCAAUUAUAGUGGUAUGUGAUGGUAUGAAACUUUGUCCGUGCAAAGGUGGUGAUGGAGUGGCACGAAGAGAAGAACAAGAGUGAAGAAGAGAAUAAGAAGAACAAAAGGGAGGGGGCAGUGGCUAGGAUAGACAAAGAACAAGAAGAAAAAAAAAGGGAGGAGGGUUUUAAAGUAAAAAAGUGAAAAAAGAAUUACCUAGGUUAAUAACCUAUUUUACCUAUUCUCAGAAUUCUAGUCUCUGCAAAAUAAAUUCCAAAUUCUACUUUUAUUAAAAAAUCCUCUAAUGACAUUCAAAAUUCGAUUUCUAGAAAAUGGAAUUCUAAACAUAAUAGAUAUGGUGUUAUAUCUAUAAAUAUAAUGCACAGUAUGUCAUAUGUGAAAUUAAAAGACUUUAUGUGUCAUUAAUGAAAAAAAA
rnacentral:lncRNA from 1 species